UGGGGAAUAUUGGACAAUGGGGGCAACCCUGAUCCAGCGAUGCCGCGUGAGUGAAGAAGGCCUUCGGGUCGUAAAGCUCUUUAGGUUGGGAAGAAGUGCGCCGAGUGAAUAGCUUGGUGUGUUGACGGUACCGACAGAAUAAGCACCGGCAAACUCUGUGCCAGCAGCCGCGGUAAUACAAAGGGUGCGAGCGUUAAUCGGAAUUACUGGGCGUAAAGGGCGCGUAGGCGGUUAUGUAUGUGUGAUGUGAAAGCCCCGGGCUUAACCUGGGAAGUGCAUCGCAAACUGUAUAACUAGAGUAUAUGAGAGGGUGGCGGAAUUUCCGGUGUAGCGGUGAAAUGCGUAGAGAUCGGAAGGAACGUCAAUGGCGAAGGCAGCCACCUGGCAUAAUACUGACGCUGAGGCGCGAAAGCGUGGGGAGCGAACAGG
rnacentral:rRNA from 1 species